UCGUUGAGUAGAAGCGUUCAGCACGCGCCCAGUGCGCGUUGCCCGGAAAUUGCUCAUGUC
rfam:Delftia acidovorans SPH-1, complete genome.